UACGGAGGGUGCAAGCGUUGCUCGGAAUUAUUGGGCGUAAAGGGUAGGUAGGUGGUCUCAUUUGUCUGGGGUGAAAGCCUUGAGCUUAACUCAAGAAGUGCCCCGGAAACGGUGAGACUAGAGUCCUGGAGAGGGUCGUGGAAUUCCCGGUGUAGCGGUGAAAUGCGUAGAUAUUGGGAGGAACACCAGUGGCGAAGGCGGCUCACUGGACCGGUACUGACGCUGAUGCGCGAAAGCGUGGGGAGCAAACGGG
rnacentral:rRNA from 1 species